GCCAGGCACAGUGGCGCAUGCCUAUAAUCCCAGUUACUCAGGAGACUGAGGCAGGAAGAUCACAAGUUCCUGAUCAACCCAGGCAACUUUUGAGAUCCUGUCUCAA
rnacentral:sRNA from 1 species